GGUUUACUUGCCAUCGACGUCCUCCCCUCUCCUCUCGCUCCUCUCUUCUCCAUCAUGAGGUGUCCUCCAUCCGAAGUGCCCGUGAAUUCGAUGAUGACGACGCCAACAUCGAUGCACCAGCAGAGAAAGGAGAAGUCGGCAAAGUUAGUAUGGUCUUCUCCUUCAUUCUUCUCUCCUUUCCGACGAUGAAUAGGCCAUUCUCCCUCAUUAUCGAC
rnacentral:lncRNA from 1 species